UUCUACCCCUUAUCCUCUUCCCACCAUAGCUCGCUUUUGCAUUGUGAGGCCCAGACACUCAGACGCAUACCCUCCGGACGCUCAUCUCUCCUCGGAAAAAAAUUCAUCUACAGUCUUGACGUCUGCAUCACAAUUUUUUCCCUCAAGUGCCGCGGGAGAUCGGUGCGAGAGAUUGAUUGUGUGUGAAUUCACCCCCACCAGAGUUGCCGUGACCACGCGAGAGGGGAGAUGGCGACGAUGGCGAUGACAGGGGCCGCUGUCGGAGGGUGUGCGGUGCUGGGAGACCAGUACAUUCAUCAAUUUAGCUGCGCGCUACCCUCGCUUUCGCUAUCCACUUCAAGUCGGUUGGGGCAUAAGAGAGUUGCGAAGCAGAGAACGCUGUCUGUAAUUCGAUCUAGCAAUGCAGAAGGUCCGUUGAGACGGCCCAGUGCGCCUGGUGCUGCUCCGUCUAUCGCAACAUCGCCGGCUCCUCCCUCUCCUCCUACUUCUGAGCCAUCUCCAUCUCCUUCUCCCUCACAGAUAUCCUCUUCCUCCCCUGCACCACCCAAGGUCACACCGUCCAAAUCUAGUGCUGUGAGCAUUGAAUACCAAAGGCAGCGGGCAAAGGAAUUGCAGGAGUAUUUCUUGGACAAGAAGUACGAGGAGCAGGUUCGAGCGGACCGAAUCUUCGGUUGGACGCAAAAGAAUGAGAUCACAAAUGGCAGAGUGUAUAGCGAGUUCGACUUCAUGAUUUAAGCUUGAGUUCUACACACAUGUGCGACAAAUCCUUACAGUCUGCGUUUGAUUCUAACGGUAUGAAGAAUUCCCCUGCAUGUCCAAGUUUUGAAGUGACAUCUUUUUCGAUUGCAUUUAAACGGGAGAUAAUGAUAAAGAAAAUUAAAUUAAAUUAAAUUAAAGAUGAAAGAGAGUGCUUUACUCGCCUUGUAGCUGAGCGAGUCUAUAAGUUCUCAUCGUGUACUAUAAGUUCUCAUCGUGUCUUAUACCCGGCACUCUAAUUUUCUCGAAAGUCGACAGUCCAGAAAGUGUAGUACUCUCUCUAGUGUACGCACUGUAUGAUCCUCAAGCUUUUCAUGGCACUGCGGAACUUUGGCACUGCGGAACUUUGGUACUCCGAACGAGGAUUUGUUUAUGACGAAGUGGACAAUGUUCGGUAUUGCAGUAGGCUUGUUGACUGAAUACGCAACUGGGGCCAACUUCGUAGAGCAGCUAAAAAUUAUAAUUUCGAACUUGGGUAUCGCUGAGCUUGAUUAAGUACUCUGUAGUGCUGCUUUUCUCAAAGAGAAAUAUGCAAGGAUUUUGUAUUAUGUACUUCGUAGAUAACAUUAGUUUUUUCUCAUAAUUUGUUCCUGGCAUAUGCAAACGAUUGACCUACGUUGGUAGAGUAUAUAUUGACUGUGAGCGAAAGCAUUUUCAUACUAACGUUUAUGUUAAUAUAGCAGACUGUCAAACGUGCGACAAGCAACUUUCUUCGAUAAGGUCGCUAUUUUCUGGUA